rnacentral:lncRNA from 1 species
CAACUGACCCCUCAGAUGGACCCUCUGUGUACCUCCAGAUGCAGAUAGCUGGGGAGCUCAAAGCAGAGCCCCGGAGUCCACUGGCCGGGGUAGUGGCUACACUGCUGGCUGUCCUUGGACUGGGUGGCUCCUGCUAUGCUGUCUGGAAGAUGGUGGGGCAGCGGCGGCCGCCACAGGCCUGAUGAUAAAGUAGGCAGCCUCAUGCCCGGGUCCUGGGGGAGGUGACUCAGUGGGGGCUGCAAUCUCGGGAGCCCACUUCUUUUCUGAGGGUCAGUCCCUGAUCUUCCCUCUCCCCUUCACUGACCUGGGCUCCAUCUUGGGGCUCCAGCUCAGAUGCCAGGACCCCUGAGGGAAAGCAAGGCUGUAGGUUCCAAAGCCGGACCAAGUGGGGAAUGGACACCCUUGGCCCUGUAAACAAGAGUAACAGAGAAACCCCUACAGGGCAGGAGUUUGGAGGAGUGGCCUGGAGGUUAGAGAGUCAGAGACAAGUCCUCUUCAUCCAGUUCCUUUAUUGGGGGUGAGGACACCCAGAAGAGGCCGUCCACUCCCCAAACCCAGGGCCAAAAUAGGUUGGCACAGUCUUUGCCAGCCUAGCCCUUGCACCACUGUCCAUGGGCAGUUCCCCUGCCCUACAUCCUCAGACCAUGUCAGGGAGAUGUGUCCAUCUCGGGGGCCUCAGUGGAUACUUCAGUGGGCACGGCCAGCCGCUGGGGGGGCACAUAAGAGCCCAUACCCGCUGCCCUUUCGGCCUCCUCCUGACUGUAGGGCUCCACGCUCAGCUGCUUUAGCCUGGUUGAAAGAAGAGAGAGAGUUGGGAGCUGACCAGAUGCAAGCCCUGUCUGCCCAGCACCCGACCACCAGUCCUCUCCUUACUCCUUCAUACCUCUUCUUGUGGUCUUUGGAUCGGAAGUGGGUCUUCAGGGUGGUGGAAUCGACGAAGUACCUCCUGUAGGGAUGGGAGGUGGGUAAGGAGGAGAGUGAGGUGAUGCAUCUCAGGUAUGCCUAUCUCCCUGACGCGGGGCUCUGAGCGUGAAGUGAUGGGAGGUCAGCAGAACCCGCGCGUCCUGGGACCCGGACCUCACGCCCCCGUCCCGUCCCGCGUACCCUUCUCCUCCCCAGGCCAGGCCCGGC